GUGGGGAAUAUUGGGCAAUGGGCGAAAGCCUGACCCAGCAACGCCGCGUGAAGGAAGAAGGUCUUCGGAUCGUAAACUUCUAUCCUUGGUGAAGAUAAUGACGGUAGCCGAGAAGGAAGCCCCGGCUAACUACGUGCCAGCAGCCGCGGUAAUACGUAGGGGGCAAGCGUUGUCCGGAAUGAUUGGGCGGAAAGGGCGCGUAGGCGGCCUGGUAAGUCUGGAGUGAAAGUCCUGCUUUUAAGGUGGGAAUUGCUUUGGAUACUGGCGGGCUUGAGUGCAGGAGAGGUAAGUGGAAUUCCCGGUGUAGCGGUGAAAUGCGUAGAGAUCGGGAGGAACACCAGUGGCGAAGGCGACUUUCUGGACGACAACUGACGCUGAGGCGCGAAAGCGUGGGGAGCAAACAGGAUUAGAUACCCUUGUAGUCC
rnacentral:rRNA from 1 species